AGAUUAAUUGGAGUGGCAGGAACCAGGAAGGAGCAGGGACAACCGCUGGUGAGGAGGUGGAGCAAGUGAACAGCUACCUCUCACGUUGUGCCCUGACGACCAAAUAUAUGUCCAAAGCAGCACGGGUGGACAUGCUUACAUUGCAUGCAAUGGGGUGGAACGAGAAAAAAAAAAUUUUUUUACAUCAGGCAGUUUCCACAAGAUAUGUGAAGACUUGUCAGAGACUCCAUGAUGAGACUGCAAGGCUAGCUGACUUAAAAACAGAGCUAGAUUGCACAGAUGAAGUGGUGUCACAGUGGCUAUCUGAUGUGAAGGAAUGGGCAGCUGGUGGUAAGCAUGACCAGAUAAAAGA